rnacentral:rRNA from 1 species
AGAGUUUGAUCAUGGCUCAGAACGUACGCUGGCGGCACGCCUAACACAUGCAAGUCGAACGAAGUAGCAAUACUUAGUGGCAGACGGGUGAGUAACAUGUAGGUAUCGGCCCUUUGGCCUGGAAUAACACGAGGAAACUUGUGCUAAUACUGGAUAAGUCUUUACGGAGAAAGCUUUAUGCACCAUUGGAUGAGCCUGCACUUGAUUAGUUUGUUGGUGGGGUAAUGGCCUACCAAGACUGUGAUCAAUAGCUGAUUUGAGAGGAUGAUCAGCCACAUUGGGACUGAGACACGGCCCAAACUCCUACGGGAGGCAGCAGUGGGGGAUCUUGCACAAUGGAGGAAACUCUGAUGCAGCGAUGCCGCGUGAGUGAAGAAGGCCCUUGGGUUGUAAAGCUCUUUCGUCGGGGAAGAAAAUGACUGUACCCGAAUAAGAAGGUCCGGCUAACUUCGUGCCAGCAGCCGCGGUAAUACGAAGGGACCUAGCGUAGUUCGGAAUUACUGGGCUUAAAGAGUUUGUAGGUGGUUGAAAAAGUUGGUGGUGAAAUCCCAGAGCUUAACUCUGGAACUGCCAUCAAAACUUUUCAGCUAGAGUAUGAUAGAGGAAAGUAGAAUUUCUAGUGUAGAGGUGAAAUUCGUAGAUAUUAGAAAGAAUACCGAUUGCGAAGGCAGCUUUCUGGAUCAUUACUGACACUGAGGAACGAAAGCAUGGGUAGCGAAGAGGAUUAGAUACCCUCGUAGUCCAUGCCGUAAACGAUGUGUGUUAGACGUUGGAAAUUUAUUUUCAGUGUCGCAGCGAAAGCGAUAAACACACCGCCUGGGGAGUACGACCGCAAGGUUAAAACUCAAAUGAAUUGAC